ACGCGACGGUCAUACCUCGGUCCCGACCGUCAGAAACAAAAGAGUAACCUUUACACCUGACGCCACACAGACAACUGAUGAUGGGGCGUGUUACCUCAACGUGUCGCUGACCUCACAAGAGUCAGGAGAAGAGGAGAAAGGCCGCACAGAAGAAGAUUUGUAUUUGGACGUAGGUGUGGACCAAAAAUCGCCACGCGACGGUCAUACCUCGGUCCCGACCGUCAGAAACAAAAGAGUAACCUUUACACCUGACGCCACACAGACAACUGAUGAUGGGGCGUGUUACCUCAACGUGUCGCUGACCUCACAAGAGUCAGGAGAAGAGGAGAAAGAUGACGGAGUGGAUGAUCCUUAUAUAAAUGUAUCUUUAGAGGACAAAAGCGAAGAGUGUUCAUCACCCAAGAACCAUCCGCCAGAGCGUCCGUCGCCACUCAAGAGGAGCGCCUCAGGGAAGGGGAACUAUGUGGAC